GAGGCUCCACUUUCUCCAGCCCUGCCAGCUCUCAGGGCAUCCAGCUUUCGAAUUCUAGCUACAAUAGAGAUUGACAAGUGGCCAUUGGACUGAAAUCUGAAAUGGAAGGAUCAAAUUUCUCAAUUCGAGUUCCUUUUGAAAAAUAUCAGUCUUUUCUUUGUGUAACCUAGAAGAAAAAAGAAUUUUUCGUACUUUGGUCAUGUUAGAAAGGCAGGUCAUCACACCCCAGGAGGACAGCUGUCGUAGGAAAAGCAGGGACCACAGCCCAAGUGAAGCAGAGAAUAGAACAGGGGCGGGAGCUGGGGCAGGGAGGCUGACGAGGGCAGCCUUAGACCACGGCAACCCUCGGUCUCUUUUGUAGCCAUCACUCUUUUUUUAAAAAUUUGACAGAUACCUCUAAGGCAUCACGAAGAAGAAAUAAGCCAAGACUUUCCAUCUGGUGAGAUCCAGCGGCUGCAGGAGCAGAACACAAGCUUGCGAGAUGCUGUUGCACAAAUGAGGAGGGAAAUGGAGGCGCUCAGUGGUCCGGCUGCUCCUUCUGCCCAGCCGGGUGGUUAUACUUUGGCCCUCGAAGCAGAAAUACAGAAUCUAAAGCAUAAAUUUAAAGCACUGGAAGAACAGUUAGGAGAUGUGUUAGAGCCUUCGAAGAUGUCCUCGUCUCAUCCCCACGUUCAACACAGCGUGCAGCCCAGGGCUGUUGCCACUGGUGAGAUCCCGUCUCUGUGCUCUGUCGUCUGUGCCUGCAGCACUCUUUCCUUCGUGGACACAUACCCAUUCAGAAAUCCCCCUAAACGCAAACGUGCAGCUCCGUGAGUCAUCACGGCACAGACGUGGUAGGCCCUGACCGGUGCCCAGGGGCCCUGCGGAAUCCACCUCCGACCUGAGUCCCACACCACGGGCUGGUUUCCCCUGUGGACGUAAAUGGAGGCACACAGUGUCUUGUCUGGUUUCCUGUGGUCUACGCGAUGUUUUAGUUUGCGAAUGCCAGGCAGUUCUCCAAAGUGUUCGUACCAGCUUACGCUCCUGUUGGCAGCUGACGUCUUUUCCUUUACGGCUACUGCUUUUGGGCCCAUUCCCUACCUGCGAGGCACGAGUGUGUUCUCCUCUGUUCCCUUCUAGACUUUUAUUGUUCGGGCUUUCACGGUAUUCUCUGUCCUACCUGGACUGUGUUUCUGUGCGAGGCGUGGUAGGAGGCGUUUCCUGUUCUACUUUGUGGACACCGGGUGGGCGUGAUCCCCUCACGAGAAGGUCUGGCACGGGGGUGGGGGUCAGAAUCACCUGAAUGCGCUGAGUCGAGGGGCAGGAAGCGAUAGUUCUUUAAACGGUAGUUUUUUGGAGGUAAAUAUCAUACUUAUGCUUUGGUCUACUUCAAUAAUAUCCUCUUAAAAAAUGUUCUAGAGCAGCACUGUCCAACAGACAUGUGAGAUACGUAAGUCAUUUAAAAUUUCCUAGUAACCAUAUUGAAAAGGCAAAAAGGAAAGGAAAAAUUAACUUUAAUAUGCUUAUUUUAACCUAGUAUGUCUAAAAGUAUUGUCAUUUUAACACACAAUCAGUGUAAAAUUGUGAACAUAUAGUUCACAUUUUUUUCAUGUAGCUUCGAAAUCUCAGUUUUACUGGUCACAUUUCAGGUGCUAAGUAGCCACCUGGCAUUAGUGGCUCCUGCACUGGACAGCACAGUUCUGGAGCCAGCCCUAGUGCUCCAGUCCUGUGGGUAGGAAUCACAGAAUCGGGGCUGGCGUUCAGAUUCCACUUGGAGAGGAAAUCGUUGAACAGCUGAGGAAGCUGCAGCUCAGAGCUCAGAGCAGCCUGCGGUCCCACAGCCGAUGAAGCUCGGCAGAGUCUCCCGAUCCUGGCACUUCCCUGGUUAGAUGAGAGAACCAGAGCGCUCCCCCCACUGCCCGCGGCCGGAACCCAGCCUCUCCGUCAGAGCGAAGAGCUGGUAGAGCGGGCAGAGCACAGUGGUCGGGCAUCUGCUUCACGUGUGAGGUCUCCUAAAAAAUAAUAAUACAGAACAUACUUUUCAAUUUAAAAAAAGGAAAGAACUAGAGUACCCUUCUUAUGGUAGUUUCAUUAAACUUGUAGAUAACUAUUUUUCACCAAAAUACCUGAAAUUAAUUUGCAGGAG
rnacentral:lncRNA from 1 species